rnacentral:rRNA from 1 species
ACGUACACUCCUACGGGAGGCAGCAGUGGGGAAUAUUGGACAAUGGGCGCAAGCCUGAUCCAGCCAUGCCGCGUGAGUGAUGAAGGCCCUAGGGUUGUAAAGCUCUUUCACCGGUGAAGAUAAUGACGGUAACCGGAGAAGAAGCCCCGGCUAACUUCGUGCCAGCAGCCGCGGUAAUACGAAGGGGGCUAGCGUUGUUCGGAUUUACUGGGCGUAAAGCGCACGUAGGCGGACUAUUAAGUCAGGGGUGAAAUCCCGGGGCUCAACCCCGGAACUGCCUUUGAUACUGGGAGUCUUGAGUUCGAGAGAGGUGAGUGGAAUUCCGAGUGUAGAGGUGAAAUUCGUAGAUAUUCGGAGGAACACCAGUGGCGAAGGCGGCUCACUGGCUCGAUACUGACGCUGAGGUGCGAAAGCGUGGGGAGCAAACAGGAUUAGAAACCCCUGUAGUCCCAUG